UGGGGUAUAGCCAAGUGGUAAGGCAGCGGGUUUUGGUCUCGCCAUCCCAGGUUCGAAUCCUGGUACCCCAGCCA
rnacentral:tRNA from 2 species